rnacentral:lncRNA from 1 species
AUUCCAAAAAUCUUUGUCUUCAUUCUUCCUCACUGUUCAUUCUCAUUCUCAUUCUCUUAUUGUCUUCAUGGCUACUCCCUCCGACUCAUCAUCAUCGAAGGGUGAGGGCACCAAUCACGACAUGGUAUCAGAACUUGCCGGCUCCGGUACCUCAAUUUAGCCACUCCUGACUUCUUCAAGUCGAUGCCAUCAUUUGGCUCGAUCCAAUCGUUUCUGUAGGUGAAGCUGACCACGACGAAGUAUAUCGUGUGGAAGAUAUGCAGUUCACUCCGCUCCUCAACUGUUUCAACCUGCAAUAAUCAUUCAUCAAUGUCGAUGAAACUCCGGUCGCCAAUAUUCGUCGAGCGCCGAUUAUAUCCUAUGAUGGAGAAAGGAUCAGCUUCUGCUCAGCUGGAUGAUCUCUGUCCGAAAACAUCCUACCAUCUGUGGUAGGAAUGUCAUCGUCGAGCGCGAUCUGGAAGUCGCCGAGACAUCCUACAAAGCUUUUUUAAUUUUUUUUAUCGAGUCUUAUUGAACUUAUCCAGCACCAUAACCCGAUCGAGAACUCGACACUAUAAGAAAAGAGGUUUUCAACAAUGAUUUUAGCAGCGGAUUUGGAUCGUCGAUAAAUUUCAAAAAGAAUUAAAAAAAAACCACGAUAUUGGCGAAGAUUAUAAAUAUUUAUAUCAUCGCUAAUUAGGACUGACAAUUCGUGUUGGCCGACGAUAUUCCCUCAGUUCCACCGCCGGUGGCAGCCAUCUGCAAAAGUCAAUGUUUGCAGACGAUGUGCAAUCUGGAACAGUGGCGGC